rnacentral:misc_RNA from 1 species
AAGUCGUAACAAGGUUUCCGUAGGUGAACCUGCGGAAGGAUCAUUAAUGAAUUAGAGUAACUCUUAGGAGUACUCAACCCUCAUUUCCAACACUGUGCACUUUUUGGGUGUGCUGAGUCCAUUUGGACUUGAGCUACCCCUCACUUAAACACUAGUAAAAGUAUGUAAUAUAAAAAUAUAACCAUAUAAAAACUUUCAACAACGGAUCUCUUGGCUCUC